rnacentral:rRNA from 1 species
CCUACGGGUGGCAGCAGUGAGGAAUAUUGGUCAAUGGACGAGAGUCUGAACCAGCCAAGUAGCGUGAAGGAUGACUGCCCUAUGGGUUGUAAACUUCUUUUAUAAAGGAAUAAAACGAGGCACGUGUGCCUUUUUGCAUGUACUUUAUGAAUAAGGAUCGGCUAACUCCGUGCCAGCAGCCGCGGUAAUACGGAGGAUGCGAGCGUUAUCCGGAUUUAUUGGGUUUAAAGGGUGCGCAGGCGGAUUUUUAAGUCAGCGGUCAAAUCGUGGGGCUCAACCCCAUCCAGCCGUUGAAACUGGGGAUCUAGAGUGUGCGAGAGGUAUGCGGAAUGCGUGGUGUAGCGGUGAAAUGCAUAGAUAUCACGCAGAACCCCGAUUGCGAAGGCAGCAUACCGGUGCACAACUGACGCUCAGGCACGAAAGCGUGGGUAUCGAACAGGAUUAGAUACCCCAGUAGUC